CCUACGGGUGGCAGCAGUGGGGAAUAUUGGGCAAUGGGCGCAAGCCUGAUCCAGCAACGCCGCGUGAAGGAAGAAGGCUUUCGGGUUGUAAACCUCUUUCAGGAGGGAAGAGCAGAAGCCGUUACCUCUUGAAUAAGCCCCGGCUAACUCCGUGCCAGCAGCCGCGGUAAUACGUAGGUGGCAAGCGUUGUCCGGAUUUACUGGGUGGAAAGGGCGUUAAGCCGGGAGGGCAAGUCAGAUGUGAAAGCCCGCGGCUCAACCGCGGAACUGCUUUGGAAACUGUUUAGCUUGAGUACCGGAGAGGCAAGCGGAAUUCCUAGUGUAGCGGUGAAAUGCGUAGAUAUAAGGAGGAACACCAGUGGAGAAGGCGGAUUGCUGGACAGAAACUGACGGUGAGGCGCGAAAGCGUGGGGAGCAAACAGGAUUAGAUACCCUGGUAGUC
rnacentral:rRNA from 1 species